CAUUAUACGGCGAAACUGCGAAUGGCUCAUUAAAUCAGUUAUCGUUUAUUUGAUAGUACCUUACUACUUGGAUAACCGUGGUAAUUCUAGAGCUAAUACAUGCUAAAAAUCCCGACUCACGAAGGGAUGUAUUUAUUAGAUUAAAAACCAAUGCCCCUCGGGGCUUACUGGUGAUUCAUAAUAACUUCUCGAAUCGCAUGGCCUUGCGCCGGCGAUGGUUCAUUCAAAUUUCUGCCCUAUCAACUUUCGAUGGCAGGGUCUUGGCCUGCCAUGGUUACAACGGGUAACGGAGGGUUAGGGCUCGACCCCGGAGAAGGAGCCUGAGAAACGGCUACUACAUCCAAGGAAGGCAGCAGGCGCGCAAAUUACCCAAUCCCGACACGGGGAGGUAGUGACAAUAAAUACUGAUACAGGGCUCUUUUGGGUCUUGUAAUUGGAAUGAGUACAAUUUAAAUCCCUUAACGAGGAACAAUUGGAGGGCAAGUCUGGUGCCAGCAGCCGCGGUAAUUCCAGCUCCAAUAGCGUAUAUUAAAGUUGUUGCAGUUAAAAAGCUCGUAGUUGAACCUUGGGCCUGGCUGGCCGGUCCGCCUCACCGCGUGCACUGGUUCGGCCGGGCCUUUCCCUCUGGGGAGCCCUAUGCCCUUCACUGGGUGUAGUGGGGAACCAGGACUUUUACUGUGAAAAAAUUAGAGUGUUCAAAGCAGGCCUAUGCUCGAAUACAUCAGCAUGGAAUAAUAGAAUAGGACGUGUGGUUCUAUUUUGUUGGUUUCUAGGACCGCCGUAAUGAUUAAUAGGGACAGUCGGGGGCAUCAGUAUUCAAUUGUCAGAGGUGAAAUUCUUGGAUUUAUUGAAGACUAACUACUGCGAAAGCAUUUGCCAAGGAUGUUUUCAUUAAUCAGGAACGAAAGUUAGGGGAUCGAAGACGAUCAGAUACCGUCGUAGUCUUAACCAUAAACUAUGCCGACUAGGGAUCGGACGAUGUUAUUUUUUGACUCGUUCGGCACCUUACGAGAAAUCAAAGUCUUU
rnacentral:rRNA from 1 species